UUUAAUAAUGUUAAGGAGGAUUUCCUGAACGUUCUCAGAAGGCGACGGAAGUCGUUGCCGGAAGAAGGUAGGCAGGGCCAGAGGCAGUCCAAUGGUAAACGACUCCUGGAGGAAAAGGGCGGUACCCCGUGAAAAGAUUAACCAAUGAGAAUCAUUAACGCCAGACACCGGGACGGCGCCGGGGCAGAGGGGACGAUGGAGAAUUUCACGGCGCUGUUCGGGGCCCAGGCUGACCCGCCACCUCCCCCAGCGGCACUCGGCUUCGGACCCGGAAAGCCGCCCCCCCCGCCGCCGCCGCCUCCGGGCGGGGGGCCGGGCCCGGCCCCGCCCCCGACCGCCGCUUCGGCCCCUCCCGGGAGCGACAAGUCGGCGGCAGGCUGCGGCCCCUUCUACCUAAUGAGGGAGCUGCCAGGCAGCACCGAGCUGACAGGCAGCACUAACCUGAUCACACACUACAACCUGGAGCAUGCCUAUAAUAAAUUCUGUGGGAAGAAAGUGAAGGAGAAGCUGAGUAACUUCCUGCCCGACCUGCCCGGGAUGAUUGAUCUGCCUGGUUCCCAUGACAACAGCAGCCUGCGCUCCCUCAUCGAGAAGCCCCCUAUCCUUGGGGGCUCUUUCAAUCCCAUCACAGGGACCAUGCUGGCUGGCUUCCGCCUGCACACUGGCCCGCUGCCGGAGCAGUGCCGCCUGAUGCACAUGCAGCCGCCCAAGAAGAAGAGUAAGCAGAAGCACAAGCAGAGCCGCAGCCAGGACCCCGUCCCCCCGGAGACGCCGUCUGAUUCAGAUCACAAGAAGAAGAAAAAGAAGAAAGAAGAGGACCCUGAGCGGAAGAGGAAGAAGAAAGAGAAGAAGAAGAAGAAGAACCGACACAGCCCGGAGCACCCCGGGAUGGGCAGCUCUCAGGCCAGCAGCAGCAGCAGCCUCCGCUAAGCGGCUGGUGGACCCUGCCAGGAGGACUUCCCUGCUGGGCCGGAGGCGGCCCUGGUCAGCGCCGGGUGCAGGGGCGGAAGCCGCGCAGCCGGAGGAGCCGAUGGGGAGAUGGGCAGGGCUCCCGGCGGCCUCCGCCCGCCUCGCUUUCUCAUGGACACCUCUUCCCCUCCCAGGAAGCUUUCUGUUCACCUCUUGUGUGCAGUUUGUCUGAUGUAGGAUUUGGUCUGAUUUGUUAGGAUUUUUAUUCUCUUAAAAUUGCAUUUAUCAAACUGGCUGAAGCGUGGCUGCCUGUCAGGAGGUAAGUGCCUUUCCGUGGGAGUCAAGGUGUGAGCCGGGGAGUGCGGAGGUCUGAGGGGGCUCGGACCUUGCGUGGCAUGGUUUCCUCAGCAGGCAGGGCAGCCGCCCGAGACCAGGGAGCAGGGUCCAGGAGCGGAGUGCGCCGACGCCUUCCUGCCCCAGACUUGUUACCACCCUGCCCCCGAGACUGCCAGCUAGUGCCUGGAUGACCUUCCUGCUUAAGGCCGGCUGUGUCCUAGGGGACGGCUUGGGAGGUCACACUGCCCCGUACAUCCGUGUGGUCUGCCUUUCACUCCGUCGUCGUCCACUGGCUUGCCUCUGGCUGCAUCCAAAAGGAGCUUUACCAUCCAGAGAGAAUUCUGUUAAGGGAUUGUAGGCAAAAGUCAAGAGCUCUCUCAACUCUGAAAUGCCAAGUUUUGGUCGUUACAAGACUUUUCUGAAACAUCCAAUUAAAUCACUGAAAUAAAAACAGGA